ensembl:lncRNA
CCUCUGGUGUCCUUCCACCCCAAUUCCCUCCCUCAGGGAGACAGUGGGGGCCCUUUGGCUGUCACUCCCUGUGCAUGGUCUGACCCCAUGCCCCUUCCCCCAGCACGGGGCUGGGGGAGCACAAGGUGGGACAGGGCAGUGACCCUGGGAGGAAGGGGCCACUCCUGCCCACGUCGGGGGAGAGAUGUGAGCGUCCCAGGUCACUGGCUCCUGCUGCUGUAAUGGGGACCCCCUCCCCCAUUGACUUCUCCACCUCCCUUUCUCCCUUCUUCCCCCUCAGUGGUUUUUUGUGUCACUGUGCCAUUUUUAUUUUAUUCCUUUUUUUUCCCCUUUUCACAGAGAAAUAAAGGUCUAGAAAUAGCUGGUCCUUUGGUGUUAGUCACUAGUAUGGAGGAGGGGGCACCACAUCAGGGCCAUGGUCUCUCUGCCCUCUCUGGGGAAGACCUAAUUAGUGGGCUUGCCACACCCAUGUGUCCCAAGAAUGGGGAGGAUUCUCUGGGGAGCACCAGGAGUGCAGCUAGCCUGUGUGGUAGAGAGUCCACAGGGUGUCUCUGGCCAGCAGUCCUGUGUGCGGUUUAGUUUCGCAGAUAUUGACCGAGUAUGCAGUGGGUAAGAGCAGGUGCCUUGGAGCCAGACUGCCUGGUUCCAGAUCCCAGCUCCUACACUUAAUAGCUGUGUCAUCUUGAGUAGGUUACCAGGUCUCUCUGAACUCAGUUUUGAACUGUGUUAGAUGGGGAUAGCAGUAGAAUCUAAAUCAAAGGGCCAGUUGUGCAGACUAAAUAAGUUCAUACAUAUAAAAUGUGAAACAGUGCAUGGCACGUGAGAAGCAGUCAGUCAGGGUUAGCCGUAACUUGCCAGAGAACCCCGUGUGGGUCAGGCCAUGUCCCUCAGGAGGUCUCAGGAUAAUCAGGGCUAUAACACAGCAGAAGGGGCCUGUGGUAAGACAGAACCAGUUGUCCUUCAGUUUCUGUUUGCCCAUUUCUUUACUUAGAUAGACACUCUCAUUUUUAACUGUGCACACGACUGCCUGGAUUCAAGGUAUUUUUCCAGUGUCUCUUAAAAUUUGGUGUGGCAUUGUGAGUAAAUUCUGGCUAAUAAUGCGUGAACAUAAUGGGUAUGUGCAACUUCUAGGAAGUGUUCUCAAAGGAGGAGAGAUGCACCCCCUUGUUUCUUCCUUCCUGUGCUCUGGAAUGUAGACCAGAUGACCAGAGUGGGAGCAGUCAUCUCAGACCAGGAAGUUAUCUUAAGAGUAUAGGCCAAGCAAGGCGGCAGAACAAGAGAGAAGGAGCCUGGGUUCCUGAUGCAGUGAAGACUCAGGCCAGUAUCCAAGUAUCUGUCACGUGGGAGAGUUAAACUGUUUAAGUGACUGUUUGGGGGUUCAUUACUUGAAGGUCACCCAAAUUCUAACUGAUGCAGGGGCCAAAGAGCUCUGGAGAGAGGAGCAGGAGACUUAGUGGAUGCUGUUGCAUGUAAGGUUUCAAGGAGGACGUGAUACUUAAGUGAAAUUUGCCUUAGCAGAAUGGAAGGGAAAUUGGCUUUGGGUAGCAAGGUGAUUUCACCAGCUCAGCCCUCGUGUUGCCAAGUCCCUAGUGUUUAUUAGACCCACUUGGGUCCUUGGGGAUGAGGGUAAAGGAGACCUUGUUCCUCCCAUUAUUAGCUUAUGGUUAGUUUCAUAAGGGCAGGGCCUGUGGUUUAAACUCAGCCCACCUACCCCUGGCACAAAUUACCUUUCCUAGGAUAUAAAUAUUUGAAGGACUGAAUGAGUGAAGAAUUGAUGAGAUUGGGAGCUGGGGCAAUAGGAUCACUGAGCAUGAUGUUGAAUGUUCUAGCUUAGUAGGCAACCUACCAAUAAUUGUUGAAGGAACAUUGAAAUGAAUGAUCCAUGUUGUUCCAGUUAUAUUUUGCUGCAUAACAACCCACCCCCAAAACUUAGUGACUUAAAACAAUAAAAACAUGAUUCCUCAUAAUCUGCAGUCUAGGCUCUGCUCAGUUGGCAGGUUCAUCUGCUCCUUGGGGUGUGUACUGGGGUGGAAUGAUCAAGAUGACUUUUUCACUCCUAUGUCUGGCACCUCAGCUAAGGCCUGGUACAGUGACCGCUCCAGGGUGGCUGGACCUCUUUAUCUGACAGCUUCCAGCUCCACAGAAGUUUCCAAGAGAACAAGUUCCAGAUUACAACUGUUUUCCAAGCCUCUGCUUGCAUCACAAGCCAAAACAAGUCGCAUAGCCAAGCCCAGAGUCAUUGUGGUAGGGAGCCACGUAAGAUGUGAAACCUGCAGGUGUGGUUUAUUGGGCGUGCCACUGUAACAGUCUACUGCCUGUGGUCCAGAGACAAAAUUUUUAGUUCCAACUUAGCUCUGCUACUAACGUGUGGGGGCAUCAACAGUAUAAGGAGAUGAGGCUGAUUCCAGAGUGUAUACAGCAGCUGGGAGCAAGCUGAAGAUUUAAACUUCAUUCUGGAAGGCACAAGCAGCCACAGGGGUUUUUGGCAAAGGAGUGACAGCAUUAGAAUCGAAGGAGGAGACCUGAGGCUGGGAGCCCCGGGAGGAUUCUGGUAUGAGACAGGAGUUUUAACUGGAGGCGGUAAUGUAUAGUUAGGGAGAUUUUGGGUAAAAAAGGAAAUGGAAAGAUUGCCGAGGAGACAGAUUGGGCCUUGGUGACACCUGGAUUAGGGGAGUAAAGGGAAGGAUGCAGUCACCUUGGCAACCAGGAUUCCAGUCUUCCUAGCCUCACCACCCACUCCUCCCUGGGAAACAUUCUUGGUUCCUGCAAACCCACACAUGCUUCAACAUCUCCAGCCUUUUGCUUAUAAUGUGAACCUCUACAUUGGAAGCUUUCUCUGCUCCUUACUCUUCAUGGAAACAGAAGUAAUUUGGCAUGGAGAGUGGGGAAAGUGAAAUGGAGUGACACAGGUGAACAUAGAGAAGUAUGUAGGGGCCAGAUCCCAAAAAGAUCCAGAUAGCAGGGUGAAGGGCUUGGACUUGCCUUGAGGGAGAGGGUCCAGUAAGACUUGAGGAGAGCCUUCUGGGGUCAAACAAAUCUAGCAGACCAGGGAGGAGGCUGAGAUGAUUGUCCUGGAGGGUGAGGACAAGGCUUCAGUGGGGGCUUUGGCUGAGGAAAGAGGGCAGAGAAAUUGAGGAAGUGGACUUGAUGCCACUUCUCUUUUUCAAACCCUAAGAACUUACACAAGAGGCAGCCGGAAGGAAGGCCCUGUACCUCUCCUCUUCUCAGUUCUAAUCAAAACAUCUGAAGUUGAAACACAUUCCUUGUCAUCAGCCUCCUGCCUGGAGGAAAUCCCCACUCCCUUUAGUCCUUCCCUGUCCAUCUGUGUUUUCCAGAUGGGGGAACAGACCCAGACUGUUUUGACUUUGAUGUGGGGUCUUAGGACUGACCAGACCAGAACUUGACAAAUCUCUCCCAGAAGGGAAAAAUCCCUUAAUUUCCUCUAGUAGCUUAUGGUACUCAGUGCCCAGCCAAAGAGGGAAGCUGGCCCUACAAGCUAGACAAGAAGAUGCAGGGCAUGGCCAGCUUAGUAGCACUGUAGGAAAGAUGGCUCCUGAUUUCUUAGCCAUGAUGCAGAAUGCAGAAAUCUCUGGUAGGCUUUUGAAUGAGUCAUUGGUGACAAAAGCUGAUCUGACCUGAACUGCUGUAGUAACAAAACCUCACUUAGACUGCUAUUUAGUGUUUUAUCCCUCUCAUAUGGAAUGUAAAUCACAUAAGAAAUGUUCGUGUGUUAGGAUUAUAGGGAAUAUAUUGAAUUAGUAAUCAAAAAACUGUCCACAAAGAAAAGCGCAAGCCUGGAUGGCUUCACUGAAUUCUACCAAAAUAUGUAACAAAUUAAUACCAAUUCUUCACAAACUCUUCCAAAAAGUAGAAAGGGAGGAAACAUUUCCCAACACAUUCUGAGGCCAGCAUUAUGCUGAUAACCAAAAGGAGACAAAGACACAAAGUGAAAAAAGUCUACAGACCAUUGUCUCUCAGGAACAGGUACAAAAAUGCUCAACACAAUAGUAACAACCCAAAUCCAGCAACACAUAAAGAGAAUUGUACACCAUGACCAAGUGGAAUUUAUCGUAAGCAUUCAAGGUUAGUGUAACAUCAGAAAAAUCAAUGAAAUACUCCAUAUCAAUAGAAUAAAAAAAAAACCAUGUGAUCCUCGCAAUUGAAGAAAAAGGAUUUGACAAAAUAAAACACCCUUUUGUGAUUAAAAACACUCAACAAACUAGGAAUAGAAGGGAACUUCCUUAACCUGAUAAAAGACAUCUACAAAAAACCCACAGCUGACAUAAUACUUAGUGAAAGACAGUGCUUUCCACAGAAGAUAAGGAACAAGACAAGAAUGUCCACCCUCACCACUUCUAUUUAGCAUGAUACUGGAAGUUCCAGCCAGAGUAAUUAGGCAAGAAAAAAGUAAAAGGGCAUGCAGAUUGGAAAGGAAGAACUGAAAAUUCUGCAGAUGACAUGAUUUUGUAUAUAGGAAAUCCUAAAGAAUCCAGUAAAAAAAAUUUGAGCUAAUAAACGAGUUCAUCAAGGUUGCAGGAUACAAGAUCAACAUGCAAAAGUAAUUUGUAUUAUUGCAAAUAACAAGUGUCUCAUGAGGAUGUGGAGAUAAUGGAACCCUUGUACACUGCUGGUGGGAAUGUAAAAUGGUGCAGCCACUUUGGAAAACAUUGUUAGUCCCACUAAGUUACCAUUUUACCCAGAAAUUUUACUCCUAGGUAUGUUCCCCGUAAGAACUGAAAACACACAGCCACACAAGAACUUGCUCACAAAUAUUUGUAACAGCAUUGUUUGCAAUAGUCAACAUGUGGAAAUCACCCAAAUGUCAAUCAACUGAGGAAUGGACAAACAAAACGUGGUGUGUCCAUGUAAUGAACAUGACCCAUAAAAAUGAGUGAAACAUUGAUAGUGCUACAACAUGGAUGAACACGGAAAGCAUUAUGCUAAGUGAAAGAAGC